rnacentral:rRNA from 1 species
UCAUAUGCUUGUCUCAAAGAUUAAGCCAUGCAUGUCUAAGCACAGGCCUUAACACGGUGAAGCUGCGAAUGGCUCAUUAAACCGGGUGUUAUUUAUUAGAUCAUACGUCAGUUACUUGGAUAACUGUGGCAAUUCUAGAGCUAAUACAUGCUACACGGCUCCGACCUCCGGGGAAGAGCGAGUUUAUUAGAUCAAAACCAACCGGGCUCCGGCCCGGCUUUUGAUGACUCUGGAUAACAUUGGUCUGAUCGCACGGCCUCGCGCCGGCGACGUAUCUUUUGAGUGUCCGCCCUAUCAACUAGCGUCGGUAUGCGACUUGCCUACCGAGGUGGUUACGGGUAACGGGGAAUCAGGGUUCGAUUCCGGAGAGGGAGCCUA